rnacentral:rRNA from 1 species
AACGCUAGCUACAGGCUUAACACAUGCAAGUCGAGGGGAAACGACAUCGAAAGCUUGCUUUUGGUGGGCGUCGACCGGCGCACGGGUGAGUAACGCGUAUCCAACCUGCCCACCACUUGGGGAUAACCUUGCGAAAGUAAGACUAAUACCCAAUGAUAUCCCACGAAGGCAUCGGAAUGGGAUUAAAGAUUUAUCGGUGAUGGAUGGGGAUGCGUCUGAUUAGCUUGUUGGCGGGGUAACGGCCCACCAAGGCUACGAUCAGUAGGGGUUCUGAGAGGAAGGUCCCCCACAUUGGAACUGAGACACGGUCCAAACUCCUACGGGAGGCAGCAGUGAGGAAUAUUGGUCAAUGGGCGAGAGCCUGAACCAGCCAAGUAGCGUGCAGGAUGACGGCCCUAUGGGUUGUAAACUGCUUUUAUAAGGGAAUAAAGUGGGUCUCGUGAGACUUUUUGCAUGUACCUUAUGAAUAAGGACCGGCUAAUUCCGUGCCAGCAGCCGCGGUAAUACGGAAGGUCCGGGCGUUAUCCGGAUUUAUUGGGUUUAAAGGGAGCGUAGGCCGGAGAUUAAGCGUGUUGUGAAAUGUAGUGGCUCAACCUCUGCACUGCAGCGCGAACUGGUCUUCUUGAGUACGCACAACGUGGGCGGAAUUCGUGGUGUAGCGGUGAAAUGCUUGGAUAUCACGAAGAACUCCGAUUG